rnacentral:misc_RNA from 1 species
AACAAGGCGUACCUGCGGACCUGCGGAGGGAUCAUUACCGAGUUUACAACUCCCAAACCCAUGUGAACAUACCUAUCGUUGCUUCGGCGGAUCGCCCCGGGCGCCUUGCGUGCCCCGGAUCCAGGCGGCCGCCGGGGGACCUUAACUCUUGUUUUUACUGAGAAUCUUCUGAGUCGUUUUUACAAAUAAAUAAAAACUUUCAGCAAUGGAUCU